UAUGAUAGGUGUGACGAUGUCU
rnacentral:miRNA from 1 species